UGGGGAAUCUUCCGCAAUGGACGAAAGUCUGACGGAGCAACGCCGCGUGAGUGAAGAAGGUUUUCGGAUCGUAAAGCUCUGUUUUCAGGGACGAACGGCAGAAAUAUGAAUAAUAUAUCUGCAUGACGGUACCUGAGGAGGAAGCCACGGCUAACUACGUGCCAGCAGCCGCGGUAAUACGUAGGUGGCAAGCGUUGUCCGGAAUUAUUGGGCGUAAAGGGCGUGUAGGCGGGAUAAUAAGUCUGUUGUAAAAGUGCGGGGCUCAACCCCGUAAGGUCAAUGGAAACUGUUAUUCUUGAGUGCAGGAGAGGAAAGUGGAAUUCCCAGUGUAGCGGUGAAAUGCGUAGAUAUUGGGAGGAACACCAGUGGCGAAGGCGACUUUCUGGACUGUGUCUGACGCUGAGGCGCGAAAGCCAGGGGAGCGAACGGG
rnacentral:rRNA from 1 species